UCCUAUGUUUCAGGGUGAGCGAGGCGGUCCUGGACCGAGUGGACCUCAGGGAGUCCAAGGUUGUCCUGGGAUCAGAGGACUGAAGGGCAACCGCGGCCUCCGGGGAAACAGGGGCGAGGACGGCGAGGACGGGCUGGACGGAGUCAACGGAGAACAGGGAGUGACGGGAAAAGACGGAGCUCGAGGAGAGCGAGGACACCCAGGAAACCCAGGUAUCCCAGGUAUCAGAGGGGAGGCGGGGCUGAAAGGACAGCGAGGACUGAGAGGAGAUCCGGUGAGUCCAUUUUAGAUCUAUGUUUAUAUGCAGUAUGUAUUAUUAUUAUAUUGAUCUGUGAUUGAAUGUUCACAUUUAGACCAUAUUUCACCAGUUUUAAGUUUUCAUCCUCUACAAUGUGCAAAAUAUCGUCACUUUGGAGCCAAAAACGACGUCCAAACCAUCGUAUCCUCAUCAGUGAACACCCAUGAAACAGGAAACCCAGUGCUGCUUGCAGCAGACA